rfam:Osedax symbiont Rs1 5221_190, whole genome shotgun sequence.
UUUUUUUGGUGGUCUGGUUGGUUUAGGAGCCGCGGAGCGGGUUUGAGUCGAGCGCAAGCGACACAUUGCCGCAUCUUGACCGUGGCAAGCCGCAGGGUGAGGAGUGCAGCGACGAGUCAACCCGUCACUGAUAGUG